AGUGAACGCUGGCGGUAGGCCUAACACAUGCAAGUCGAACGGCAGCACAGUAAGAGCUUGCUCUUACGGGUGGCGAGUGGCGGACGGGUGAGGAAUACAUCGGAAUCUACUUUUUCGUGGGGGAUAACGUAGGGAAACUUACGCUAAUACCGCAUACGACCUACGGGUGAAAGUAGGGGAUCUUCGGACCUUGCGCGAUUGAAUGAGCCGAUGUCGGAUUAGCUAGUUGGCGGGGUAAAGGCCCACCAAGGCGACGACCCGUAGCUGGUCUGAGAGGAUGAUCAGCCACACUGGAACUGAGACACGGUCCAGACUCCUACGGGAGGCAGCAGUGGGGAAUAUUGGACAAUGGGCGCAAGCCUGAUCCAGCCAUACCGCGUGGGUGAAGAAGGCCUUCGGGUUGUAAAGCCCUUUUGUUGGGAAAGAAAAGCAGCAGGUUAAUACCCCGCUGUUCUGACGGUACCCAAAGAAUAAGCACCGGCUAACUUCGUG
rnacentral:rRNA from 1 species